rnacentral:rRNA from 1 species
ACGUAGGGUGCGAGCGUUAAUCGGAAUUACUGGGCGUAAAGCGUGCGCAGGCGGUUUGUUAAGACAGUUGUGAAAUCCCCGGGCUCAACCUGGGAACUGCAAUUGUGACUGGCAGGCUAGAGUUUGGCAGAGGGGGGUGGAAUUCCUGGUGUAGCAGUGAAAUGCGUAGAUAUCAGGAGGAACACCGAUGGCGAAGGCAGCCCCCUGGGCCAUGACUGACGCUCAUGCACGAAAGCGUGGGGAGCAAACAGG